rnacentral:lncRNA from 1 species
CAUAGUUCCUUCAAGCCCUCUGUGCAGUGAGCAUCUGUUGAGAGUCCUAUGAAGAAAUUGACGAUCCAAGAUGGACAAGCAAACCAAAUUAAAUACUUUGAAAACACAAGUAAAAGUUUGAGGGCAUCAAAGGGCGUGAUGACCAUAAAGGGCCCUGGAACUUGAACUUGCGCACACACCCAUUCGCUCAAUCGGCAGACGCCGUCCCACAAUCGGACUUCCUGCACUUCAGGAGCAAACACAGUUGAGCUAUUUUGUUUACAAAAAAUUCCAUGGAACGCUCUGCUAGAGCCCUGUGCUUC